rnacentral:rRNA from 1 species
UUUCCCAGUCACGAUAUCGGCCCGCAGUGCAGGUCCAGGCGUGUGGCUGGGUAGGGGAGCGUCGUGUCGCCGGUGAAGCGGCCGCGGAAGCGAGCCGUGGAGGCGACACGAGUGAGAAUGCAGGCAUGAGUAGCGAAUGACGGGCGAGAAACCCGUCCGCCGGAUGACCAAGGGUUCCAGGGUCAAGCUAAUCUGCCCUGGGUAAGUCGGGACCUAAGGCGAGGCCGACAGGCGUAGUCGAUGGACAACGGGUUGAUAUUCCCGUACCGGUGUUGUUGCGCCCAUGCUGACCGCGGUAAUGCUCAGCACUCGUGGACCGCGCCCUUCGGGGUGAGGUCCAGGACUGCGAACCAAACCGUCAGUAGGCAAGCGAUGGGGUGACGCAGGAAGGUAGCCCAACCCGGGCGAUGGUAGUCCCGGGGUAAGGAUGUAGGCCGGUGUGCAGGCAAAUCCGCACGCCAAUGGCUGAGAUCUGAUGCCGAGCUUAGGCGAAGUGGGUGAUCCUCUGCUGCCAAGAAAAGCCUCUAGCGAGUAGCAACGCCGCCCGUACCCCAAACCGACUCAGGUGGUCAGGUAGAGAAUACCGAGGCGAUCGAGAGAACCAUGGUUAAGGAACUCGGCAAAUUGCCCCCGUAACUUCGGGAGAAGGGGGGCCGGUGUGCGUGAAGGAGCUUGCCUCCGGAGCGCGUGCUGGCCGCAGAGACCAGGCUCAAGCGACUGUUUACUAAAAACACAGGUCCGUGCGAAGUUGCAAAACGAUGUAUACGGACUGACGCCUGCCCGGUGCUGGAACGUUAAGGGGAAGGGUCAGCAGCAAUGCGAAGCUCCGAACUUAAGCGCCAGUAAACGGCGGUGGUAACUAUAACCAUCCUAAGGUAGCGAAAUUCCUUGUCGGGUAAGUUCCGACCUGCACGAAUGGCGUAACGACUUGAGCGCUGUCUCAACCGUGGACUCGGCGAAAUUGCACUACGAGUGAAGAUGCUCGUUACGCGUGGAAGGACGGAAAGACCCCGGGACCUUUACUACAGCUUGGUAUUGGUGGUCGGUUCGACUUGUGUAGGAUAGGUGGGAGACUGUGAAGCGCUCACGCCAGUGGGUGUGGAGUCAACGUUGAAAUACCACUCUGGUCGUACUGGCUGUCUAACCUAGGUCCGUAAUCCGGAUCAGGGACAGUGCCUGGUGGGUAGUUUAACUGGGGCGGUUGCCUCCUAAAAAGUAACGGAGGCGCCCAAAGGUUCCCUCAACCUGGUUGGCAAUCAGGUGUUGAGUGCAAGUGCACAAGGGAGCUUGACUGCGAGACUGACAGGUCGAGCAGGGACGAAAGUCGGGACUAGUGAUCCGGCGCCGGCAAGUGGAAGCGGCGUCGCUCAACGGAUAAAAGGUACCCCGGGGAUAACAGGCUGAUCUUACCCAAGAGCUCAUAUCGACGGGAUGGUUUGGCACCUCGAUGUCGGCUCGUCGCAUCCUGGGGCUGGAGCAGGUCCCAAGGGUUAGGCUGUUCGCCUAUUAAAGCGGUACUCGAGCUGGG